CUGGGCAUGAGCCGGUGUUCGUUCCCAUCUUUGCUGUUCCGGGCUAUGUCGUGGAUGUACUACAGCAUAGCGCGGACAGCAAGGCUGGGUUCGUUCUGAGAUUAUACGGCUAAAACUUGAUCUGGAUAAUACCAGCGAAAGGAAUCAUGCUUUCCCUUAUU
rnacentral:ncRNA from 1 species